CCCCCUUCUUCAUCAUCUUCAUGCUACCUUCAUAAAAAACUCAUGAGAAAAAUCUAGAAUUGACUCACAUGAAUGUUAUUCAAACCCUAACUUUAUUUUACUCCCAAAUUCUUUUAAUUGUUGUGAAAUGGUUAACUCAAAUUCAAACCAUCUCUUCCCCUUUCUUCUCUUUUUUUAUGCUCCAAUUUGAUACCCAUAUUCCUCUAUUUCACUCUCUGCCAAACACAAAAUUAUCAUCAUCUUCGUUUCAAACACAAUCCUAGAAAACAACAUAAACAAUAUUCUUCUUGUGGCAAUUUUUACUGUAUCUAGACUUUUGUUUCAGAUGUUUGUUCAUAAGGGACAAUACUUCAACAUGUUCACCUCACUCUUCCCGAUUCUGGAUAUGCUGAACUGUCUCUCCUUUGAAAUUUUUGAAGAAUUUAUUUUGGGGGAAUUGAUGAAUGGGUCUGAGAUUUGUGUUUUUUAGCUACCAUUUAUUUAUUUUGUUCUUGGUUUUGAAUAGUAUGAAAGAAAGUUGAAAAAUUUAGGAUUAUUGUGAAAAGGGUCUGAAAUUGUUGUUGUUGCAAAAAUUGUUUGUUGUUGUUUCAAAAAUUUUGGAUUUUCUUUUAUGAGUUUUAUCGGUUAUUUCAUGAGGAUGAAGAUGUUUUAUGAGUUUGUUUUGUAUGAGAGGAUGAUGAUGAUGCAGAAAUUGUUGUUGUUUGAUAUUGUUGCUACUAUUUGAUUUUGUUGUUGUUGUAUGAGAGGAUUUAUGGGUUACUUCAUGAUGAUGAUGAUGCCAAAAUUGUUGUUGUUGCUGCUUAAUUUAGUUGAUGCUAUUGUUGUUGUUCUUCCUAUUUUUCUAGAAAUAGUUGAAGGAGAUGAAGG
rnacentral:lncRNA from 1 species